ACACAACAACAGAGACACAACAACAGAGACACAACAGCAGAGAGACAACAGCAGAGACACAACAACAGAGACACAACAACAGAGACAGCAGAGACACAACAACAGAGACACAACAGCAGAGACACAACAGCAGAGACACAACAGCAGAGACACAACAGCAGAGACACAACAGAGACACAACAACAUAGACACAACAGCAGAGACACAACAACAGAGACACAACAGCAGAGACACAACAGCAGAGACACAACAGAGACACAACAACAUGGACAACAACUCCAGAGACACAACAACAGAGACACAACAGCAGAGAGACAACAGCAGAGAGACAACAGCAGAGACACAACAACAGAGACACAACAACAUAGACACAACAACAGAGACACAACAGCAGAGAGACAACAGAGACACAACAGAGACACAACAGAGACACAACAACAUAGACACAACAACAGAGACACAACAGCAGAGACACAACAACAGAGACACAACAGCAGAGACACAACAGCAGAGACACAACAGCAGAGACACAACAGCAGAGACACAACAGAGACACAACAACAUAGACACAACAGCAGAGACACAACAACAGAGACACAACAGCAGAGACACAACAGCAGAGACACAACAGAGAGACAACAGCAGAGACACAACAGAGAGACAACAGAGACACAACAGCAGAGACACAACAGAGAGACAACAGCAGAGACACAGAGAGACAACAGAGACACAACAGAGAGACAACAGAGACACAACAGCAAAGACACAACAGAGAGACAACAGCAGAGACAACAGAGAGACAACAGAGACACAACAGAGAGACAACAGAGACACAACAGCAGAGACACAACAGAGAGACAACAGAGACACAACAGCAGAGACACAACAGAGAGACAACAGAGACACAACAACAUAGACACAACAACAGAGACACAACAGCAGAGACACAACAGAGACACAACAGCAGAGACACAACAGAGACACAACAACAGAGACACAACAGCAGAGACACAACAGAGACACAACAGAGACACAACAAAGACACAGCAGAGACACAGCAGAGAGACACAACAGAGACACAGCAGAGACACAGCAGAGACACAGCAGAGACACAACAGAGACACAACAGAGAGACAGCAGAGAGACAACAGCAGAGACACAGCAGAGAAACAGCAGAGAGACACAACAGAGACACAGCAGAGACACAGCAGAGAGACAGCAGAGAGACAACAGCAGAGACACAACAGAGACACAACAGAGAGACAGCAGAGAGACAACAGCAGAGACACAGCAGAGACAUAA
rnacentral:lncRNA from 1 species